rnacentral:rRNA from 1 species
UACGAAGGGGGCUAGCGUUGUUCGGAAUUACUGGGCGUAAAGCGCACGUAGGCGGGUUGUUAAGUCAGGGGUGAAAUCCCGGAGCUCAACUCCGGAACUGCCUUUGGUACUGAGGAGCUUGAGUCCGGGAGAGGUGAGUGGAACUGCGAGUGUAGAGGUGAAAUUCGUAGAUAUUCGCAAGAACACCAGUGGCGAAGGCGGCUCACUGGCCCGGUACUGACGCUGAGGUGCGAAAGCGUGGGGAGCAAACAGG